GGAAAAGAAUCAGCAAUAAAAAGAGAUGGAGCCAGCCCUGUGCUGGAGCCCGGAGCGAUAAGCGUGCAGCCAGGAGGAGGAGGAGGGAUGAGAGUGCGCCGCAGGCACGAGGUCCCCGCGGCAAGUGAAAUUCCAGCCCGCAGCUCCGUGUCCCCAUCCCGCUCCUCCGAGAGCCAGCAGCUGAGCCGGGGCUCAAGUGUCUUGGGGCACAGAGGUGGGGGCCACGCUCCGGGUGCCGAAACAUCGUCACCCCGUCCCGGGGAGGGGUGGGGACCUCGGGGACGUCAAGGAGAAGGCCAGAGCGUACCGUGCUCGCUGGAGGGACCGAUGAGUCGGCAGCAUGGGAGAAAACCCAAUAUGCUGCCAGCAGCAAUGACAGGCAUGUGGCACACACCGGGAGGUGUCAAAAGAUGCUCACGUCAGCUUCACCAGCAGCCCCGUGCCUCCUGCCCUGGCCGUAUAGGGAAGAGCACCCGAGCAAUUUGCCUUUUGGAGCCUUUUGUUUCGUGGGCCAGCUCUCACCUACGGCAAAACCAUCUGCAGGAGCAGCAAGGAGAGAGCUGUGCCCUUCCUCCCCGCUUCGAGUGACAGGUACCAGCAUUUCCCACUUCUACUGCAUGGGAGAAGUAACACUCU